GGCGGCGUGCUUAACACAUGCAAGUCGAACGGGAACCUUUGGAUUCGUCUGAAGGGGAGAGUGGCGAACGGGUGAGUACAGGUGGGUGACCUGCCUCGAAGACGGGGAUACCACUGGAAACGGUGGCUAAUACCCGAUGGUCUCGAUAAUUCGGUUUAUCCAUGUAAAUGCUCCGGCGCUUUGAGAGGGACCUGCGGCCCAUCAGCUAGUUCGUAGGGUAAUGGCCUACCAAGUGCAAUACGGGUAUAGGGGCGUGAGAGCGUGACCCCCCACACUGGCACUGGGACACGGGCCAUACUCCUACGGGAGGCAGCAGUGAGGAAUAUUGCGCAAUGAGCGAAAGCUAGACGCAGCAACGCCGCGUGGGUGAUGAAGGCCUUCGGGUCGUAAAACCCUUUUCUGGGGGAAGAGUCACGACGGUACCCCAGGAAUAAGCCUCGGCUAACUAUGUGCCAGCAUCCGCGGUCAUACAUAGGAGGCAAGCGUUAUCCGGAUUUACUGGGCGUAAAGAGCGUUGAGGCGGCUACGUAAGUUGGACGUGACAGCUCCCGGCUUAACUGGGAGAGGCCGUACAAUACUGCGGUGCUUGAGGACAGCAGAGGGGGGUGGAAUUUCCGGUGUAGUGGUGAAAUGCGUAGAUAUCAGAAGGAACACCAGUGGCGAAUGCAGGCCCCUGGGCUGCUCCUGACGCUGAAGGCGAAAGCUAAGGUAGCGAACGGGAUUAGAAACCCCGGUAGUCCUAGCAGUAAACGAUGGAUACUAGCUGUAGGAGGUUAAAAUUCAUUCUGUGCCGGAGCUAACGCGUUAAGUAUCCCGCAUGGCGAGUACGCUCGCAAGGCUAAAACUCAAAGGAAUUGACGGGGACCAGCACAAGCAACGGAGCGUGUGGUUUAAUUCGAUGCAACGCGAAGAACUUUACCAGGGCUUGACAUGUAGGUAGUAGUGAAGCGAAAGCGGAACGAUCAUUCGGGAAGCCUACACAGUUGCUGCAUGGCUGUCGUCAGCUCGUGCCGUGAGGUGUUAGGUUAAGUCACUGUAACGAGCGCAACCCCUGCAGUUAGUUACAAGUGUCUAACGGGACUGCCCGGCAAAACUGGGAGGAAGGUGGGGAUGACGUCAAG
rnacentral:rRNA from 1 species